rnacentral:lncRNA from 1 species
AGGUCGACUCGUGAACUUUCCAAAACUUGAAAGCUUCUAUUUGGUCUUAUGGUAUUUCAAGUGUCGGCUCUUAAUGUCCGACUCCUCUCUUCCUAACAUAACGAUUAUUUUGAGAAACUUGAACUUUAGUUAUUUUAAAGAGGAUUUCUUCUUGAGUUUGUGUAUAAUCUUUGAGCAAUCUAAGAAAUCCGGCAAUCAUUCUCUCAAAUGAAUAUUAAUACAUCAUCAAAAUCAAUCUUUGGAUUAAUAAAAGCAAAACCUACUUUUUGAUUACAAUAAUAAGCAAACUAUGAGGACUCUUGAGGGUAUGUGUUUAGUCCUACAUCAACUAUAUAAUAUGUAGUCUUAGAUAUUUAUACAGGACCAAAGAACCUAGAUAACACCUUGGGGGAGGUCCUAGGUCAUUACACAAACUAAAACAUAGAUUGUGUAAACCAAAUAAAAUAUAGCUUAUAUUUGAUCUAUAAAUAAGUUGACAGGGAGUAAAUAGUUUUUUUUCUUUUUGAG